UACGGGGGGGCAAGCGUUGUUCGGAAUUACUGGGCGUAAAGGGCUCGUAGGCGGCCAACUAAGUCCGACGUGAAAUCCCCAGGCUUAACCUGGGAACUGCGUGUGAUACUGGAUGGCUUGGAUUUGGGAGAGGGAUGCGGAAUUCCAGGUGUAGCGGUGAAAUGCGUAGAUAUCUGGAGGAACACCGGUGGCGAAGGCGGCCCACUGGCUCGAUACUGACGCUGAGGUGCGAAAGCGUGGGGAGCAAACAGG
rnacentral:rRNA from 1 species